rnacentral:tRNA from 6 species
GGAGAGGUGGGUGAGUGGCUGAAACCACCGGUUUGCUAAACCGACGUACGGGGCAACCUGUACCACGAGUUCGAAUCUCGUCCUCUCCGCAA